rnacentral:lncRNA from 1 species
CCUGACUUUGGGACGGAUGUCUGGGAGCAUGGCCAGGAACUGCAGCUCAGCCUUGGACAGAACCUGCAUGUAUAUCAGAAGAGGUUCAAGAACAGAGCACUCAGUAAAAAGUCCCGAUCCAUGGAGGUGCGUGCAAGCAGCCACUGCACCUUGGCUUCGUGGAUCCAGACGACGAGGCCUUUGGCGUCUGGGUGCAGCAGGCUGAGCCUGUAGUCCACCUCCGGCGGGAAGUACCACCGCGCCACCGGCUGCCUGCCGAGGCUAGGCUGCAGUCAUGCACAGCACCACUCCGAUCGAGUCAGUUCAACAACAAGACAACAAGAACAAAUCAAGAACAAAAGUAGACGUGCGUCGUACGUACCGGGCAGACGGGGUGGAUCUUGGUGAGCGUGGUCUCCGGAUCGCCGAGGCCCCGCGCGGAGAGGUCGAGGAAGUAGUAGCCCUGGUAGCGGAGGCGGUUGAGGUAGCGGCCCUCGUAGCCGCCCUCGUGCGGCGGGUAGAUGGCCAGCGCCUUGUGCUUCUCCACGUCGUCCAGCCACUUGCCCAGGUCCGGCCGCACCAGGUCCCCGCCCACGAAGUCCAGCAACGAGCUGCGCACGGACACCGCGCCACGGCCGCCCCGCGGCCCGCCGCGCCGGCCGCUGAGGAGCGAGGGCGCCGGGACCGGAGACACGGGCACGGACACCGCGCGCGCCGCCGCCGCUGCUGCCGACCACAUCCUGCUGCUUCUACUGCCUGCGGCCGUGCGCGUGUGGGUGGAUGGGAGUGGGAAGUCGCUUGCUUUUGAGCAUGUGGCGGGAAG